rnacentral:lncRNA from 1 species
ACACUGUAGCAUUUAAUUUCAGAAAGGGGCACUACACAAAAACGAGGAGGUUAGUUAAACAGAAAUUAAAUGGUACAGUGCCAAAAAUGAAAUCUCUGCAAGCUGCGUGGAAACUUUUUAAAGACACCAUAAUAGAGGCUCAACUUAAAUAUAUACCCCAAAUUAAAAAACAUAGUAAGAGAACCAAAAAAGAACCACCGUGGCUAAACAACAUAGUAAAAGAAGCAGAGAGAGGCAAAAAGGCAUCCUUUAAAAAGUGGAAGUUAAAUUCUAGUGAGGAAAAUGGAAAGGAGCAUAAACACUGGCAAUUGAAGUGUAAAAAUACAAUGAGGAAGGCCAAAAAAGAAUUUGAGGAACAGAUAGCCAAAGACUCCAAAAGUAAUAGCAAAAAAAAUUUUAAGUACAACAGAAACAGGAAGCCUGCUAAACAACCAGUGGGGCCACUGGAUGAUCAAGGUGCUAAAGGAGCACUCAAGGACGAUAAGGCCAUUGCAGAAAAACUAAAUGAAUUCUUUGCAUCAUUCUUCAUGGCUGAGGAUGUGAGGGAGAUUCCCAAACCUGAGCCAUUCUUUUUAGGUGACAGAACUGAGGAACUACCACAGAUUGAGGUAUCAUUAGAGAAGGUUUUGGAACAAAUUGAUAAAUUAAACAGCAAUAAAUCACCAGGACCAGAUGGUAUUCACCCAAGAGUUCUGAAGGAACUCAAAUGUGAAAUUGCAGAACUAUUAACUGUAGUCUGUAACCUAUCAUUUAAAUCAACUUUUGUACCAGAUGUCUGGAGGAGAGCUAAUGUGAAGCCAAUUUUUAAAAAGGGCUCCAGAGAUGAUCCCGUCAAUUACAGGCCUGCAACCCUCACUUCAGUACCAAGCAAACUAGUUGAAACAAUAAUAAAGAACAAUAUUGUCAGACAUAUAGAUGAACAUAAUUUGUUGAGGAAGAGUCAACAUGGUUUUAAUAAAGGGAAAUCAUGCCUCACCAAUCUGCCAGAAUUUUUUGAGGGGGUCAACAAGCAUGUGGACCAAGGGGAUCCACUGGAUAUAGUGUAUAUAGAUUUUCACAAAGCCUUUGACAAGGUCCCUCACCAAAGGCUCUCAUGCAAAGUAAGCUGCCACUGGGUAAAAGGGAAGGUGCUCUCAUGGAUUGGUAACUUGUUAAAAGAUAGGAAACAAAGAGUAGGUAUAAAUAGUCA